UACGUAGGGUGCAAGCGUUGUCCGGAAUUAUUGGGCGUAAAGAGCUCGUAGGCGGUUUGUCGCGUCGGAUGUGAAACCCCGGGGCUUAACCCCGGGCCUGCAUUCGAUACGGGCUGACUAGAGUUCGGCAGGGGAGACUGGAAUUCCUGGUGUAGCGGUGAAAUGCGCAGAUAUCAGGAGGAACACCGGUGGCGAAGGCGGGUCUCUGGGCCGAUACUGACGCUGAGGAGCGAAAGCGUGGGGAGCGAACAGG
rnacentral:rRNA from 1 species